CUGGGAUGGCUAGGAUCACUCUUUUUUCAAUGUCUCUGUCUUUUUGUAUUCUCCUCAUAAUCACUUUCACCUUGUUCAUGCAAUCAAUUCCAAUUACUGCAGAUUUGAAGAUGAGAAAGUUGGGUCUACAACAAAGCCCACCUCCUUCGCCCCGUUCAGGCUCUCCACUACUACCCGCAGAUGUACCUCCUCCAAAUUCCGGUGCAUAAGAUCUUCAACGAUUAAUCAUCUAUGCUCCUUCAGCUACUUUAUUUCUCAUAAUUGUGUUGCUGCUUUAUACUACUG
rnacentral:sRNA from 1 species